GGGAAAGACCCUAGGAGGGACUCAUGGAUGAUCCUGCAAAGAAGUGAAUGAGAUCUGCAGGAGUGAACUGGCUAUUGAAGGAAAAGCUGAUGAAGGUGCUAUACAUGGCGUAUCUUGCCUAAGAUCUCAGUAUGUGGGAGGCUCUGACAAAAAGAAGGGUAAUGACACCAACAUGUGUGCAUUUUAUAUAAUGCAUUAUGACUAUAACGAAUGUGAAAGGGGAAGUGAGAAGAAAAGAGUUAAGAGGCCACUGCAGUAAGAUCAUAAAACAAAGGAAGGAGACCUAAAUCUAAGCAAU